rnacentral:sRNA from 1 species
GCCGGGUGUGGUGGUGCAUGCCUAUAAUCCAGCUGCUGGGGAGGCUGAGGCAGGAGGAUUGUGAGUUCAAGGCCAGCCUCAGCAACCUAGCAAGACCCUAAGCAACUUAGCGAGACUCUGUCUCUA